GGGAGUGGAGCAGCGAAAGCAACUCACAGCCAGAGUCUCUGCUGCACUGUUUUCACUAUUCCGGUUGACAGAGCUGAGCUUCUCAGAGCUGCUUCCAGGGGCUGUUGCCCAGACCUGGGCGGAGGCUGCAUCUUGACCUGACUCCAGAGCUUAAAAUGCAAUGGCCAGAAGACAAGGAAAUACCAGUAGAAGAAUGUGGAUGUGGACUCCAGGACUGCUGAUGGUAACUGUGACCCUCUGGAGUCAGCCAGGGAAUGGACAAGGUCAAGAGAACUGACUACAGAUGAAAGCAUUUGACGUGAUAAUGGAAAUAGAGACUGAAGUGAUUUGCUAUAGCUAAGGAAAAAGAAAGGACUCACUAUCAAGGAAUAUAUUCAGAGGCUAGAAUCCCCAAACAGGAGAGACAAAGAUCAUGCCCUCAGAACUUCCGGAUAGAACCAGAACCAUGACCUUGAUAUCAUCCAGUGAAACUGACUUUAGACUUUAACUUGGAAAAUCACAGAUGUUUUAAAAAAAAUACCAUACUUUGUAACUAACCUCCUGUACUCGUUCACUCCAGACUUGCUAUUGUAUCAGAACCUGCUUCCUAGAAACGUCC